AAAUAAAUACACCGCUGCAUCCAGGCUUGCAUCACCUCCUACACUCUUGUAGAUUACAGAAAAGGGACCAGGAUUGCACAGCAGGGGCCCGGGAAAGCCUGGCCACCCGGAUCCGAGCUCCCAGUGACACCUGGCACGCUCUCCUAGCAUCCUUCGCAGCGGGUGUUGGCCCCGGGGCUGGAGACUGGGCAAGCCCAGGCCCUCCUCCCGCCCUGAAUUGUCUCCCAACUCCCCCCCCUUCGCCCCCCGCCGCGUGCCUCCUCCCCUUUACCCCUCCCUUCCCCGGUCGUCUUCUCCGCCCCGUGGAAUUCCAGAGCCCGCAGCAGCCGCCCGCGUCGCCGCCCUCGGGAGGCUUGUCCCUCGACGCCCGCCGUAGCCGGGCUCUCUCUCCGCUGGUCGCCGUUUCCAAGAUGGCCGCGGCGCGGACGCUCCCGGGCCGAAGGGCUCCCGCCGCCGGAUAAAGGAGGAGACGGCGUCCAGCGAGCCUCUUGGCCGCCGUGCUUCCUCCAGUCUCAGCCCAGCUGCAGCCUCACUUUCGCCGCCGCCAUGCCGGGCUCGGUGCACGGAUGAGAGAGGCAGUGGCCGCCGCCGAGCUGGUCCCCCCUCCCACCGGAGCCGCCGCCGCUGCCGUCACCGCCAUGGAGGAGCCGCCGCCGCCGCCGGAGCUGCCGCUGCAGCUGGAGCUGGAGGGCUGCCAGGCGGCGAGGCAGGAUGGCAAGUUGGGAGAUGUUGCUUGCAAAAACUCUGAAUCUGAUCCAGAGGAGUUUUCAGAUGAAACAAAUACUGAAAACCUUUAUGGCACCUCUCCUCCCAGCACACCUCGACAGAUGAAACGUAUGUCAACAAAGCACCAGAGGAAUAAUAUAGGGAGACCUUCUAGCCGCUCCAGUUUAAAAGAAAAAAUGAAUGCACCAAAUCAGCUUCCUCACAAAGAUAUUGGCAAAACAGUAGAGAAUGUGGAAGAACACAGCUAUAAGCAAGAGAAAAAGAUCCGAGCCACUCUUAGAACAACAGAACGGGAUCAUAAAAAAAAUGUACAGUGCUCAUUCAUGUUAGACUCAGUGGGUGGAUCUUUGCCAAAAAAAUCAAUUCCGGAUGUUGAUCUCAAUAAGCCUUACCUCAGCCUUGGCUGUAGCAAUGCUAAGCUUCCGGUUUCUAUGCCUAUACCUAUAGCCAGAACUGCACGCCAGACUUCUAGGACUGAUUGUCCUUUGGAACGCUUAAAAUUCUUUGAAACUUUACGACUUCUACUAAAGCUUACCUCAGUCUCAAAGAAAAAAGACAGGGAGCAGAGAGGACAGGAAAACACAUCUGCUUUCUGGUUUAACCGAUCCAAUGAACUCAUUUGGCUUGAGUUACAAGCCUGGCAUGCAGGACGGACCAUUAAUGAUCAGGACCUUUUUUUGUAUACUGCCCGCCAAGCCAUCCCAGAUAUUAUCAAUGAAAUCCUCACAUUCAAAGUAGAUUAUGGGAAUUUUGCCUGUGUGAGAAAUGGAGCUAGUUUUAAUGGUACUUCAGUGGAAGGGCAGUGCAGAGCACCCCAUGGAGCCACUGCUAUGGGUUAUUCAAAUUAUCAUGAACAUCUCCAACGCCAGCGAGUCUCAUUUGAGCAGGUAAAGCGGAUAAUGGAGCUGCUUGAAUACAUAGAAGCACUUUAUCCCUCUUUGCAGGCUCUUCAAAAGGACUAUGAAAAAUAUGCUGCAAAAGAUUUCCAAGACAGGGUGCAGGCACUCUGUCUGUGGCUAAACAUUACGAAAGACUUAAAUCAGAAACUAAGGAUUAUGGGAACUGUUUUGGGCAUCAAGAAUUUAUCUGACAUUGGCUGGCCAGUGUUUGAAAUACCAUCUCCUCGACCAUCCAAAGGCAAUGAACCAGAGGAGGAGGGAAGUGACACAGAAGGAGAAGUGAAGGAAUUGGAAACUACCACCGAUGAAAGUGAAGAAGAACAUGUCCUGGAUGAGAAUGUAAAGGACUUCAGGCAGGCUGUGGAGAGCAGUUUUGACCUUCAGCCACAGGACCAUUUUUCAAAGAAGUUUGACAGAAUUGAAUCUGAAGAUGAAUCGGUUGGCUGGGGAGUGUCUGAGUACAGUGCUGAAGCAGGCUAUAGUAGAUACUGUUUGACUUCUAUAUAUAGACCAUUUGUAGACAAAGCACUCAAACAGAUGGGUUUGAGGAAAUUAAUUUUAAGACUUCACAAGCUAAUGGAUGGUUCUUUACAAAGGGCCCGUAUAGCACUGGUUAAGAGUGAUCAUCCAUUGGAGUUUUCUGAGUUCCCAGAUCCCAUGUUGUGUUCAGAUUAUAUACAAUUGUCAAAUACAACACCUUCAUCAGAACAAAAGUGCAGCGCUGUGUCGUGGGAAGAGCUGAAAUCUAUGGAUUUACCCUCAUUUGAACCUGCAUUUUUGGUCCUUUGUCGAGUGCUUCUUAACGUUAUCCAUGAGUGUCUCAAAUUAAGAUUGGAACAGAGACCUGCUGGGGAACCAUCUCUCUUGAGUAUUAAGCAGCUGGUAAGAGAGUGUAAAGAGGUCCUGAAGGGUGGUCUAUUAAUGAAGCAAUAUUACCAAUUCAUGCUUCAUGAAGUAUUAGAUGAUUUGGAAAAGGUUGACUGCAAUAUAGACUCUUUUGAAGAGGACUUGCAUAAAAUGUUGAUGGUGUAUUUUGAUUACAUGAGAAGUUGGAUCAAAAUGUUACAGCAGUUACCUCAAGCAUCUCAUAGUUUAAAAAAUCUCUUAGAAGAAGAAUGGAAUUUCACCAAAGAAAUAACUCAUUACAUAAGAGGAGGAGAAGCACAGGCUGGAAAAUUGUUUUGUGACAUUGCAGGAAUGCUGUUGAAAUCUACUGGAGGAUUUUUAGAUUGUGGCCUGCAGGAAAGCUGUGCUGAGUUCUGGACUAGUGCUGAUGAUAGCACGGCUUCAGAUGAAAUCAGGAGAUCUGUUAUAGAGACCAGCAGAGCCCUGAAGGAGCUCUUUCAUGAAGCUAGAGAAAGGGCUUCCAAAGCACUUGGCUUUGCUAAAAUGUUAAGAAAGGAUCUGGAAAUAGCAGCAGAAUUCAUAGUAUCAGCACCAGUGCAAGACCUUCUGGAUAUACUGAAGUCAAAACAUUAUGUUAAGGUACAAAUUCCUGGAUUGGAAAAUUUGCAAGUAUUUGUUCCACAUACUCUUGCUGGGGAGAAAUGUGUUAUUUUGCAACUACUAAAUGCAGCUGCAGGAAAGGACUGUUCAAAAUAUUCAGAUGAUGUGUUGAUUGACGCUUAUUUACUCAUGACCAAGCAUGGUGAUCGAGAUCAUGACUCAGAUGACCACUGGAGCACAUGGGAAGGGCCACCUGUAAAAAUAGUGCCUCAGGUGGAAACAGUUGACACACUUAAAAGUAUGCAGGUUGAAAAUCUUCUCUUAGUAGUCAUGCAGUCUGCCCAUCUUGUGAGCCAGAGAAAAGCUUUCCAGCAGUCCAUUGAAGGGUUUGUGACUUUGCACCAAGAACAAACCUCUAGUCAGCCAGUCAUCGCCAAAGCUUUGCAGCAGCUAAAGGAUGAUGCAUUGCAGCUCUGCAACAAAAUAAGUGAUGCCAUUGACCAAGUGGACCACAUAUUCACAUCAGAAUUUGAUACUGAAGUUGAUGAGUCAGAGUCUGCCACCUUGCAGCAGUACUAUCGUGAAGCCAUGAUUCAGGGCUACAAUUUUGGUUUUGAGUAUCAUAAAGAAGUUGUUCGUCUGAUGUCUGGAACAUUUAGACAGAAGAUUGGAGAUAAAUAUAUUAGCUUUGCCAGAAAGUGGAUGAAUUAUGUGCUAACUAAAUGUGAGAGUGGUCGAGGCACCAGGCCCAGGUGGGCAACUCAAGGUUUUGAUUUUCUGCAAGCCAUUGAACCAGGCUUCAUUUCAGCACUUCCUGAAGAUGACUUCUUGAGUUUACAAGCUUUGAUGAAUGAAUGCAUUGGUCAUGUGAUAGGAAAACCUCACAGUCCUGUUACAGGUUUGUACCUUGCAGCUAUACAUCGGAACAGCCCCCGUCCUGUGAAGGUGCCCCGAUGUCACAGUGACCCUCCCAACCCACAUCUUAUUAUUCCAACUCCUGACGGAUUCAGCACUCGGAGUGUGCCUUCUGACCUGCGGAACCCCUGCAGUGCUGCUGCCAGUCGCCCCGCCCCCGCCGGCAGCGACUCCACUCCGCCCAAACCUGUCAGCAGUACAAAUGAUAACAGGGGGUCCAGUGUUCCAGAAAAUGACCGUUUGGCCUCCAUAGCUGCUGAAUUGCAAUUCAGAUCAUUGAGUCGACAUUCAAGCCCCACUGAGGAGCGAGAAGAACCUGCAUAUCCAAAAGGAGAUUCAAGUGGGCCAACACGAAGAAGUUGGGAACUUCGGACUCUAAUAAGCCAAAAUAAAGAUACUGCUUCUAAACAAGGACCCAUAGAAGCCGUUCAGAAGUCAGUUCGAUUAUUUGAAGAAAAGCGUUAUCGAGAAAUGAGGAGGAAGAAUAUCAUUGGUCAAGUUUGUGACACCCCCAAAUCCUAUGAUAAUGUCAUGCACGUUGGAUUACGGAAGGUGACCUUCAAAUGGCAAAGAGGAAACAAAAUUGGAGAAGGCCAGUAUGGAAAGGUCUAUACUUGCAUCAGCGUUGAUACUGGUGAAUUGAUGGCAAUGAAGGAAAUUCGAUUUCAGCCAAAUGACCACAAAACUAUCAAAGAGACUGCAGAUGAACUGAAAAUAUUUGAAGGCAUUAAGCAUCCCAAUCUGGUUCGGUAUUUUGGUGUGGAGCUUCAUAGAAACACAGUAACUUUGCCUAAUUAUAAGGAAAUCUCCAUGAGUUACAUCAUUUCUGCCUUCUCUCUGAAACUAGAGGAAUUCUUCCUAAAAUGAAGAAAUGUAUAUUUUCAUGGAAUACUGUGAUGAGGGCACCCUGGAAGAAGUGUCAAGGCUGGGCCUUCAAGAACAUGUUAUUCGGUUAUACUCGAAGCAGAUCACCAUUGCUAUUAAUGUGCUGCAUGAGCAUGGCAUAGUUCAUCGUGACAUCAAAGGAGCCAAUAUCUUCCUUACCUCAUCUGGACUAAUUAAACUGGGGGAUUUUGGAUGCUCAGUCAAGUUAAAAAACAAUGCACAAACCAUGCCUGGAGAAGUGAACAGUACCCUAGGGACUGCAGCAUACAUGGCGCCUGAAGUCAUUACUCGAGCCAAAGGAGAAGGACACGGGCGUGCAGCAGACAUCUGGAGUUUGGGUUGUGUUGUGAUAGAAAUGGUUACUGGCAAGAGGCCUUGGCAUGAAUACGAGCACAACUUUCAGAUCAUGUAUAAGGUUGGAAUGGGACAUAAGCCACCCAUCCCUGAAAGGAUAAGCCCUGAAGGAAAAGAUUUCCUUUCCCAUUGCCUGGAAAGUGAUCCAAAGAUGAGAUGGACAGCUAGCCAGCUCCUCGACCAUUCAUUUGUCAAGGUUUGCACAGAUGAAGAAUGAAGCUAUUCAGUAUGUGACCUGGUAGUGUGUGUACUCGGACAGAUUCUCUUAAUCACUGCUGUAUGUAAUAUUUACAUGAAGAUUGUGUUGAGAAACAUUACGGACGUUUUAAUCUACCGCGACUGAAGACUGCACAGGUGACGAGCGUCACUUCUCCUGCUGCUCCCGUCUGUUUUACGUGGCACGUAAUGCUCAUGUGCGACCGUGUCUGCAGAGUGUGAAAGUCAGAGUGCCGUUACUACUGUACCUGGACCAUUUCCUUCUUUGUCUGCUCCAUCCCUCACAUGAUGGAGAACUGUCAUAUUAAUACGUAGUAUUUUUGACCUUUCUAAGCUCGAAAAAAGUCGUGUUACCAGGCGUGCUGGACCUUGUUUUUUAAUAUCCUGUUUGAGUGCACUGACUGUGAACCUUUAUCCUUUGGGGGGGGAGGGGGGUCGGCUUCAGAUUUGUUAUGCAAGAUCUAAUUAAUGAAAAUUAAGGAAAAAGUUUUGUUUUUGUUUUUUUUUUCUCUCAAUAAAUGGUUUAUUUUA